rnacentral:rRNA from 1 species
UGGAUCCAGACUUUGAUCAUGGCUCAGGACGAACGCUGGCGGCGUGCCUAGCACAUGCAAGUCGAGCGGGAAGCUUUUUGUGGCGGCUUCGGCCAAAGCAGAAAGUGGAGAGCGGCGGACGGGUGAGUAACGCGUGAGUAACCUGCCCAUAAGAGGGGGAUAACACUCGGAAACGGGUGCUAAUACCGCAUAACAUAUUGAAAUCGCCUGGUUUUGAUAUCAAAGAUUUAUCGCUUAUGGAUGGACUCGCGUCCAAUUAGCUAGUAGGCGGGGUAACGGCCCACCUAGGCGACGAUUGGUAGCCGAACUGAGAGGUUGAUCGGCCACAUUGGGACUGAGACACGGCCCAGACUCCUACGGGAGGCAGCAGUGGGGAAUAUUGCGCAAUGGGGGGAACCCUGACGCAGCAACGCCGCGUGAAGGAAGAAGGCUUUCGGGUCGUAAACUUUUGUCUGGAGGGACGAUAGUGACGGUACCUCCGGAGGAAGCCACGGCUAACUACGUGCCAGCAGCCGCGGUAAUACGUAGGUGGCGAGCGUUGUCCGGAAUUACUGGGUGUAAAGGGCGCGUAGACGGGCAUGUAAGUCAGAUGUGAAAUACCGGGGCUCAACUCCGGGGCUGCAUUUGAAACUGCAAGUCUUGAGUGCAGGAGAGGGAAGCGGAAUUCCUAGUGUAGCGGUGAAAUGCGUAGAUAUUAGGAGGAACACCAGUGGCGAAGGCGGCUUUCUGGACUGUAACUGACGUUGAGGCGCGAAAGCGUGGGUAGCAAACAGGAUUAGAUACCCUGGUAGUCCUCGCCGUAAACGAUGAUUACUAGGUGUGGGAGGUAUCGACCCCUUCCGUGCCGGAGUUAACACAAUAAGUAAUCCACCUGGGGAGUACGGCCGCAAGGUUGCAACUCAAAUGAAUUGACGGA